AUGAAAAGAUCAAGGGGCUGCAUCUGCGAAGUCCCAACAGGAACAGAGUUGGGUGUCUUACGGUUAUUGACAAAAGAAUCCAAAUGUGAAGCAAAUUGUGCUCGGAUGCUUCAAAGCCAGAAGGCAACGGAAAGAGACAGAACUUCUCUGCUAAGGUCAGAUGCCUGCAAGCAAUGUGAACACAGAGCCGCUUUCUUCCUCUGCCCUGGCUGCCCUGGUGCUGUUAAACCCCACAAGUGUUCGUCUCUGGGUGCACUGCAGGUUUCUUCAGCUGGCUGCCCUGCACGUCCCUUCUGUGGCUCAGGCGUGUGCUUGGUACAUGCCGAGGUUGGUGCUCAGGCUUCGGUCUUAUCUUUCAUUGUAAAUGUUUCCCGUCUUCUUUUAUGGUUAAUUUUAGAGACAAGGGGCUAUUGGUCUCGAGUAUUUGGGCAUUUGCAGCAAAGUCGUUUCAUUUUGCAGUGGUAUUUUUUUUUUCUGGGGUGUUGUAUUUCAAAGAUACUCAGCUCCCUGUACAGUCUGGAAGAUUUUCAGCUUUAACGUUUAGGUGGAAGGGGGAAGUUCCACCUGAGCUGAGGAUUUGCAGCUGAUCAUUAAGUCAGCAGUUCCUGGUGAUCAGAGCUGGGGAGUACCGUGGUUACUAUGCCAUUUAAUGAAGUGAUUCUCUUCCAUGCAUGAGUUGACUCAUAUUCCUUUGCUAUUUAAAAUUGCACUGAAGAGACAGAGAGAGAAAAUGCCACAUUGCAAACUCAGUUGGCAUAAUUUCUGUGGGUUAUCCUGAUUUUUGUAAACCCGUGGCAUGAUUUUCUCCCUGCCUGUCCUCUCUCCCUGCCCCAGCAACCCCGGACAAGCAGACUGACACCAUCCUGCUCCUCUCUGCAAACACGGACACGUCCCAGCUGCCUCCUCUGGGCACUAUCCCUGCCCUCCACCACGGCCAGUGCCCCCAACUGCCUGCCUUGUGCAGCGGCUCCCCCAGACCUUCCCAAUGCUUCGUAUUCCCUCUCACCCAUUUUACACCACAGCUCUUUUUCUUCCCCAUUAUUCAGACUCAGCUCCUUUGCUUUGCUUUCUGGCAGGGUUAUUUUUCUCUCUGACUUGGGCCCCAUUUAUCAAGUGCACACCUUUGUCACCUCCUUAGUCUAAUCCUCUCCUUUGUUGUCAGAAGGUCUUCCUCUUUCCUUUUCAUUGCUAGCUUUAUCUCCUUCUCCAUUGUCUUUUAGCCCUGUAGAUUCUUUCCCCUCUCUUUUGCAUUUGACCAAACUUGUCUUAUCGGUAUUACUUGGGAGAUUUAAGACUUUUUUUCCUUGACAGGUUUUCUUCCCCAUCCCCUGGAAGUUUCUCCAUGCCACGGGACACAGGCAAAGAGCAAACGUGUGUGUUGUUAUUGCAAGAGACAACUGCAGUCCCAGACGGAGGGUGACUCCAGGCAGUGGUGAUCACAGCAGCUCCCUGCUGCCAUCUUAGCAGGCCGUGUACCCUUAGGAAAACACAUUUUCCCUCUUCUACAAUCAUAUCUUUGUUAUCUGGCGGGCUGUCCUAAGGUCUUAGAGGUAAGAGAGGGUACAGGGGAGUGGUGAGUUUGCUGCAAGACUGUUGAAAAGAAGGGUUGUGGUGGUUGCACUCGUGGGCAGCCGAGGUCCACCACAACCGCUCCCUCACUCCUCUUCCUCAAAGGGAAAAGGGAAGAAAAUAAAAUGAAAAAGGCUCAAGGGUUGAGAUAAGGA
rnacentral:lncRNA from 1 species